rnacentral:tRNA from 1 species
UGCUAGAAAAGCUUUAAUAGCGCUGGUCUUGUAAGCCAGAGAUAGAAAUAAAAAUUUCUUUUAGUAU